rnacentral:lncRNA from 14 species
AGACCCAGCAUGUGUAUGCGCCGUGGUAUCACAGCAAAGCUUUGGACAUGUGUUAAAGCUAGUCCCACUCUUAACAGAAGCUUCUCCAGCAUGAUCAGGAGUGAUUUUUCAAUUGCUUGUAACUUCUUGGAUUUGAGGUUUCAGCGUGCCUGUUCUUCACACUUCCCUUCUUGCUGCUGCUCUGCCGAAGGCCUGAGAAUAAGGGCAAUUGACUUUCCAAAUUGCACUGGGGAAGGUAGAUAAUUUUGGAUAAUUUCUGAGUAAAUCUUGCUGGCAACUGAAAAAGUGAAGUAGUUUAACUUUCAAACUGACAGCAUUUGGGGAUUAGAUUCUUAAGCAAUAAGAAAAAUACAGCACAAAGAGGAGUAUCCAAGAAGUUAUGGUCACCAGCUAGGACUCUAAAACAUUCGUGCUCACCAACUGAGAGCAGUUGCGUUAAUGCCGCAGCUGUUGAGGGAGUAUUUUUGCAUCAGUAAUACACAGUUGCUGUCAAAGACUGAUUGUAAAGCACCUACAGAAAGUGUUUGAUUCUAAUUGAUUUCAUGUAUUUAUUUCUGCCUGUGUUAUGCACCCGUGAUGGUUCUUUUCUUCAGAGAAUGAGGAAGAGAAGAGUCCAGUGAUAGAUAUGAAUGAUACAUAGACAGAGGGAGAGCAACCAUUUAAAUCCAGAUGGGUCUCUUGAGCAGAGCGAUUCCUCACCAACUCUUCCUUCUCUACCACCCUCCUGCCCUGGCAUGGGUGAGCAGUGUCCAGAGCAGGCUUCGCUGGCUGUUCUCAAAUACAGUCAUGUAACUGGUCAGAGUAAAAAGAAGAGAGGCUUCUUCCUCCGAGGAAAGGAGCUCUUCAAAAAACUUGGGUCCAGUAAGAAAAAUUAAUAAGGGAUUUGUUGUUCUGUAAAGAUUGCCUGUGCAGUCCCCAAAGAAACUGCCAAUUCAGGAGAAGCCCUCUGCAAUAAGCUGACUAGAGUCAUAGGGGAAAAGUGUAUAUUGAAGAGAGAGAACUCUCCAGUGGCUCUGUGAGCUGUGGUCUCUGCUGAGAGUGUGGACAUGGGUGCCCACCCAGUGUGGACAAUGGCUCUGAACACAGCAUCAUGGCACUGGGGUGUGUGAGGCCUCAGCUCUAGGACACAGCUACUUCCACAGUAGUGUGUCCUGCCCCUGGCAGCCCUCAGUGCACCACUUCCCUGUAAAUAGUUUCAUUUAAAAUGUAUAUUCUGGCUGUAAGUUUGCUGAAUGGCUUUUCCUAGCAAAGCCCUGGCCCCUGAGGAAGAGAUCCCUUGUCCUCCACAUCCUGGUAUUUCUCUGGUCCAAAGGAGGUUGUGUUAACUCCUCCACUUCCUGCAAAGAAAAUGUGCACUUCUCUGUUCCCUUGAAUCCCCUUUGCUGUCUCUGGGCUGAGGAGUGAGUUCUUUGUUCUGUCAACCUGUAAAUAUGCAGCUGUGCCUGGGAGCAUCCCACACUGCCUCAAUCCUGUUUGGCACCAGGAUUCCUGUGCAGGGAGGAGUGAUACCCUGAAGGGGUCCAUACUUCUGCCUGUGGGGUGGGCUGCUGGGAGCUGCUCCUGUGGUUCACUUUGAGCACACACACUGGCUGGGCACUCCGCCUUAUUUAGUUCUUUAUUAUUUCUCUUAUUUAUUUAUUUAUUUAUUUGGUUGGUGUCUGCCUCUUUCACAGUUUUCUUUGGCUGUUUGAACAGGCUGCUCCCAAGUUGGAGCAUUUGGAAAGCAGAGCUGGGGACGGAGAGUUUGCAGCUAUUUUCAUAUGAGAUGAUGUGUUCCUUGAGUUCAGACACAUCCCUUUCUAAGCCACGGAAAGUUUUGUAUUACAUGGUUUCUAUCCUUUUCAGUGUUUCUUUCUUUGCAUGUUUUGGUGGGGUACUUGUGUUAAGGACAGUUCCCUGAGGUAUGUGAAUGAUGCCAGCACAGUGUCUGGAGUGUUGGUGAUAUGGUAUGUUUUUAUUUAAUAUCAAAUUUUAUGAUAAUAAAGUCUAUUUUCACAAAAAUAUGUUUUCCUUA